GCAACGAUGUCCGAGUGGUUAAGGAGGUGGACCUUACCCCAAUCCACUGGGCUUUGCCUUCGUAGGUUCGAAUCCUGCUCGUUGCG
rnacentral:tRNA from 1 species